UCGGGUGUAGUGCACGGAGCACACUCCUCUACCUUGAGCUGCCAGAAAUUGCAAGUGCAGGAGAGACCGGGUUCGACUCCCGGCGCCCGAA